AUUGAACGCUGGCGGCAUGCCUUACACAUGCAAGUCGAACGGUAACAGGUCUUCGGAUGCUGACGAGUGGCGAACGGGUGAGUAAUACAUCGGAACGUGCCUAGUAGUGGGGGAUAACUACUCGAAAGAGUGGCUAAUACCGCAUGAGAUCUACGGAUGAAAGCAGGAGAUCGCAAGACCUUGUGCUACUAGAGCGGCCGAUGGCAGAUUAGGUAGUUGGUGGGAUAAAAGCUUACCAAGCCGACGAUCUGUAGAUGGUCUGAGAGGACGAUAAGCAACAAUGGGACGGGGAAACGGCCCAGACUCCUACGGGAGGCAGCAGUGGGGAAUUUUGGACAAUGGGCGAAAGACUGAUCCAGCAAUGCCGCGUGCAGGAUGAAGGCCUUCGGGUUGUAAACUGCUUUUGUACGGAACGAAAAGCCCCGGGUUAAUACCCUGGGGUCAUGACGGUACCGUAAGAAUAAGCACCGGCUAACUACGUGCCAGCAGCCGCAGUAA
rnacentral:rRNA from 1 species